UAGCCUUGGGUAUGUUCCAAAAAAUGAUUCCAAAAUCAUUUUUUCAUUGUUGUCAUUUCAACUGCUAAACAUGAAUUCUAUGGAGUAGCAAUGAUUGAAGCAACAAUUUGUGGAUGCUAUCCUUUAUGUCCAAGUGAUCUUGUAUAUCCAGAGAUAUUUCCAGAGGAUUGUCUCUACAAUACUCCUCAGCAGUUGUUUAAGAAAGUAAAGAAUAUGUGUCAGAGACCAUACCUUGCUAAACAUUAUAGACACAAAAUGUCUUUCAAUUCCAGUCUAUAUCAAUGGAAAUAUCUUAAA